AUGGUAGGAUAGAGGCCUACCAUGGUGGUAACGGGUAACGGGGUGUUAGGGCACGACACCGGAGAGGGAGCCUGAGAAACGGCUACCACAUCCAAGGAAGGCAGCAGGCGCGCAAAUUACCCGAUCCCGACACGGGGAGGUAGUGACAAUAAAUAACAAUACAGGGUUCUUUGAAUCUUGUAAUUGGAAUGAGUACAAUUUAAAUCUCUUAACGAGGAACAAUUGGAGGGCAAGUCUGGUGCCAGCAGCCGCGGUAAUUCCAGCUCCAAUAGCGUAUAUNAAAGUUGUUGCAGUUAAAAAGCUCGUAGUUGAAUUUCGGGAUCAAUACGUCGGUCGUGCUUUCGGGUACGUACUGGCGUCAUUGGUUUCUCCUUUCUGACGAACCAUGAUGUCAUUAAUUUGGUGUUAUGGGGAGUUAGGACUGUUACUUUGAAAAAAUUAGAGUGUUUAAAGCAGGCAUUAGCUUGAAUACAUUAGCAUGGAAUAAUGAAAUAGGACGUUCGAUCCUAUUUUGUUGGUUUCUAGGAUCAACGUAAUGAUUAAUAGGGAUAGUUGGGGGCAUUAGUAUUCAAUUGUCAGAGGUGAAAUUCUUGGAUUUAUUGAAGACUAACUACUGCGGAAGCAUUUGCCAAGGAUGUUUUCAUUAAUCAAGAACGAAAGUUAGGGGAUCGAAGACGAUCAGAUACCGUCGUAGUCUUAACCAUAAACUAUGCCGACUAGGGAUCGGAUGAUGUUAAUUUUUUAAUGACUCAUUCGGCGCCUUACGGGAAACCAAAGUGUUUGGG
rnacentral:rRNA from 1 species